rnacentral:rRNA from 1 species
GACGAACGCUGGCGGCGCGCUUAACACAUGCAAGUCGAACGGAAAGGCCUGCUUUCCCUUGUGGAUUGCGGGUACUCGCGUGGCGAACGGGUGAGUAACACGUGAGUGAUCUGCCCCCAACUUGGGUAUAAGCCUGGGAUACUGGGUCUAAUUACCGAUAGGACUGUAGGGUGGUGCCUGUGGUGGAAAACGAUUUUCUAGUGGUUGGGGAUGAGCUCUCGGCCUAUCAGCUUGUUGGUGGGGUAAUGGCCUACCAAGGCGGCGACGGGUAGCCGGCCUGGGAUGGUGGACGGGCGCAUUUGGACUGAGAUACGGCCCAGGCUCCUACGGGAAGCAGCAGUGGGGAGUAAUGCGUGGGGAGCGGAAGCCUGAGGCAGCGACGCCGCGUGGGGGAUGACGGGCUUCGGGUGGUAAACUUCUGGCGACCGCGAGGAAUCCACCUGGUUGGAAGGGUGGUGACGGUAGUGGGAGAAGAAGCACCGGCUAACUACGUG